UACAGAGGGUGCAAGCGUUGUUCGGAAUUAUUGGGCGUAAAGGGCGCGUAGGCGGUGCGGUAAGUCCGCCGUCAAAUCCCAGGGCUCAACUCUGGACAGGCGGUGGAAACUAGCAAGCUGGAGUACGGUAGGGGCAGAGGGAAUUUCCGGUGGAGCGGUGAAAUGCGUAGAGAUCGGGAAGAACACCAACGGCGAAAGCACUCUGCUGGGCCGCUCCUGACACUAAGUCACGAAAGCGUGGGGAGCGAACAGG
rnacentral:rRNA from 1 species